AGCUUCGUCGUCAGCAAGAAUUUGCAAAGCAGUUGGAAGAAUUCCAAAAAAGAGAUGCUGAGCUGAGGAAACGGAAGUCUACUGAAGUUCAUUCUCAUGGCGAAAAUGGAUACUCAAAUAGUGAAUCCCUGCAGAAGAGGCGCAGUCCAUCCCCUCCCGUUCCUGCAGUCAGGACAAAAGAGCUGAUGGAACGUACGAUCACCCCCAUACAGUCCCUGGCUCAAGUAAAACCAGAGAAUCUGUUCAGUUCUUUGGCAGAAAUUAGAAGACAAAUUCUGCAAAACCAAGAUAAAAAGCAAACAAAUGCUUCCUAUAAAGUGAUGAAUCGUCGGACAGUGGCAGAUGUUGAUGACGAAUCCGACGAAGAGGCCGUAUCUUAUUCCCGAGUGCCUUCAGUUGCAGAGUAAAUGAAUUUCAGUGCAAAAACAACAGGGACUAUAGUUUUGCAAUCAUGUGUGAUCUCAAGCUUCACAAGUGUUCUGUUUUGGUGUUGGAGUUUAUUGCAUGUAUUCUAAUGUAAUUUAUAUUGUAUUUUUUCCUGUCCAAAAAAUACUUUUAAAAUUGAUAAAUCCUUGUAUAUAAUGCAAUCAAAUGUUUUGUUACAAAUCUCGAAUGAAAGGAGAGAAUAAGAAAUUAAUAACUUACCUGCAUGCAGAAGCAAUUAAUGAGGAAAGCAACAUCUUAAGCACAAUUGAAAGAUGUUGCUGACUUUUAUAUGAUUACAAGUAACACUUUUAUUGAUGCAUUAAGUGUCGAGCUGUAAGAGCUAAUUUGAGUGCAACUCCACUUAAUCAUUAAACUCUUGAAUCUGACAAUUUUUUUGCAGUUAUGAAAGGGUUUCUUUAAAUUUUAAAACACAUAAAUGCAAUAUUUUAUGCUAUAAAAUGUUGAUUCUCUCAUCAAUUCUAUUUUCAAGUUUCAAAGUUCAUUUAUAUAAUGUAAUCAAAUGUCUUGUUAAAAAUUUGAGCAAGAAUAAAGAAUGUUAAUAUUACCCACACAGUUAAAAUAUAUAAAGUACAAUAAACAAUUUAUAUGCACGCCAAAAGAAGGAACUUGUACCUUAAAAAUAUUGACGUAAAAAAGUUUGUUGAAAGUUUUUAAAAUUGAUUUUAUCAAAAUUUUAAUCAAAAUUUAGUAAAAUUAAUAUUUAUUUUGUAUGUUUGUUUAGCUAAUUUAUUUUUAUUAUUAUUACUACUGAAGAUUUAGGUAAAAUAUUCUUUAUCUAUGUAUAUAUUUUUCAGUAUAUUUUUCAUCUUAUAACUUGUACUACUGUAAAUUUAUUUGAGUAACCAACCAAAAAGUAGACUUCCAAUUGCAAUAUAUGCCUUCUGUAUUGUUCAAUAAAUAAUGGAAAGUGCCUGUUGUUAGAAAUUCAUUAUAAAAUGUUAUUAAAAAUCUAUACAAUUGCAGAACCAAUCAUACCUUAAAACUCACAAUAUAAAACUAACAAUGUGUUGAAAUUCCAUUUUCAAUUUUUCUGACUAAGCUUUUAUGGAUUUUUUAAAAUGAGGUUUUUAUUGUAACUACAUUACGUGAAUUUAUAUUCAUGCAAUAAUGUAUUUAUUGUGUAUUUUGUGUAAUAACUUUGUUUGACUAAGUAAA